UCGAGGAUCUUCGGCAAUGGGCGCAAGCCUGACCGAGCGACGCCGCGUGCGGGAUGAAGGCCUUCGGGUUGUAAACCGCCGUCGGAGGGGAGGAAAUGCCGGGAAGUAAUAAAUAAUCGACCCGGUUUGACCUAUCCUCAGAGGAAGUACGGGCUAAGUUCGUGCCAGCAGCCGCGGUAAGACGAACCGUACACACGUUAUUCGGAAUCAUUGGACUUACAGGGUGCGUAGGCGGCUUUGCAAGUCGGGUGUGAAAGCCCUCGGCUCAACCGAGGAAGUGCGCCCGAAACUGUGAAGCUUGAGGGACACAGAGGUAAGCGGAACUUAGGGUGGAGCGGUGAAAUGCGUUGAUAUCCGAAGGAACACCAGGAGCGAAAGCGGCUUACUGGGUGUCUUCUGACGCUGAGGCACGAAAGCCAGGGGAGCGAACG
rnacentral:rRNA from 1 species